rnacentral:lncRNA from 1 species
GAGCGGGACCAGCCGCGGUGUCGGCGAAGGGCGUCGAGGUCCUCGCCGCCCCCAAGAAGCCGUACCUCGAGGGCCGCGCCCGUCGGGCCUCCGCUUCUCCCGGCCCGGGGGUCGCGUCCCGGCCGCCCCUCUCACUCGUCCCUCCGGCCCUGGUGGCGGUGAGGGAGCCCGGCCCGGGCGGCUGUCUGCCGGGAACUGAGGGACGAGGUGGCGGCGGCUCUCAGAGGCACCGCGAGAGAAGGGCUACCCUGGCUACUGUGGGGAUUAGCACCCGCCGCGGCCGCGAACUGGCCCCCAUCACCGCCGACCUGCCCCGGCCGCCAUGUUGGGAGGAAACGACGCGUCACGCAGCGGCCGAACGGCUGCAGACGAGGAAGCGGCGGCGGCGGCGGCGGCGGCGGCGCUCCCUGCCCAGAGCUGCCGCGGCGCCGGGAGGCUGGGGGCGGAGGGCGGCGCGGGAGGAGCGGCCCGAGCCGCAGCGCUACGGCGGCCCGGCGGGGCCUCCAGCGUUCGCCUGCAGGGCGGCGUGGGGCGUGGCGGGCCUCUGGUGGCACCGCGCCCAGCACUUCGGGCUCUUGGUGGCGGCCGAGCUGCGGGACCAGAGAUCCCCCCACUCGGCACCCCUGCUCCUGCCGAGUGAACAGGACUCCUGGCUACUCUGCACUGGCUUUCUAACUUUCUGAUGGGGGUGCAGUCCUUUGCAUUCCAGGGGUCACAGCAACACCCGCAUCGCCCGUUCUCAGCCGCAGGGUCUCCGCCUGCAUCACUCGACUCUAAAAUUUCCUUCCCUAGUGCACGGAACUGCUGUCCAGGACUCUGCUCUCCGACUACCUCAGGGAGGAUUCUGUUUUGGGAAAAGUGUUGAUCCAUUUCUAAUUCAUCUUUGUUUCUUCAUAAUGGAGUGUUGUGCCAGUGACAUUAUCCACCCCAUCUUGAAAUCCUAGAGCCAUUUCUACAAGGUUCAUUACUCCACUUCAUUAAGCAACAGGUCCUGCCAGCUAAAGUCUUAAAAAAAAAAAAUAGCAGUAGCAAGUGACAGUUUUAGCAACACUUCCUAACUCCAGUCUGUGACACGCCCAUGAACUUUCCACAUUAAGAGGAAGUGGUAGGGUGGAAAAUUCUAACCUUUUCGAAACUUUGGGACUCUAUAAAAAUUCCUGUGUGGGAGAAGAAGCUGGAGAAGAAAUCCUUGAUCUGUAACUUAAUAUAUGUGUAUAUUUUAUGUGUACAUAUUGGCCUGCCUACCUGCAUGUUAUAAAGCACGACAUCCUACAUGCCACAGAGAUGCAUCUCACAGAGGCUAAGACAAGGUACCAGUCCUCAAAAAGCUGACAGCAGAGGCAGAAGGAAGAAGCAAACACAAAAAACAGUAACUAAUUGUGAAGCAGGAUGAAAUAAGUGAUAACAAAGAGGCAAGAGUGACGUGUGGUGGGUUCUGACUGAUGGGAGGUUUUAUAUAGCAGCACCAAGUACCAUACAGAUUCCAGGUUCAAACGCACACACAACAGGAAGAUGAGAAAGCUUAAGACUCAAAAUGGAAUGGAUUAGAUAAUAUAAUAUAUACGAAAGUCCUGGCAGAUGGCUUCACUUAUUGUUGUAAGAAGGAGUUAGCAUUUGAUUUGAGCUCUGAAGGAUAAAAGAAUUUUAAGUGAGGAGAAGGGUGUUCCAGGCUGAGGAAACAAGGUAGAGACAGAGUUGACAGUUUGAGUCUCGGGAGUAAGGUGGGGAAUGAAGAGUUGAUGGGGUGCUAGCAAACAGUGCCUGGAGAGAGAAAACAGGAGUCUGAAAGCUAUGCUAGACAAAGCACCAAGAGCUUUGUGUAACAGGCUGCGGAGCUGGGAGGAAAUGAAGAAAAGAAAAAGGUGGUUAUUCAAUCUCCGCAUUCAGACACAUCACCACCACCUUCUCUCUGGUCCACCUGAACUGGUCAGAGAUAACCAAAGGAGGAUAAGGAAAUCAACGUGUUGCAACAACAAGGACAUCUUUGUAGCACUGCAGUGUCCUAAUUGUGACUAAUUGUGAAACAGUUCAUCACCUCUGCUCACCCAGACCCCUCUCCUAUCAGCACCACCACCUCUUCCACCAAUCCCCACAGUAUUAACUCCACUUCCACUCUGUCCGACAUCACCCCCCUCAACCCUUCUGCUCCGCCUCUUCAAUCUGGACCAGCAGCAGCCCCUACUGCCAGAACGACACCACAGCCACCCAGCAUGGCAGAGCAAGCUUGCACAGGGAAGGUAUGCUAGGAAAUGGCUGCACACUGUCCCACUAGGGAAUUCCAUCCUCUGCCAACUAAGGAAUUCCAUGGAAAAGAUUCACGUCAGUGGACAGAUCCAGAUGGUGCCUGGUACUCUGCAGGUCCUCAAUAACUUUCUGUUAAAUUGGGUCUUAAUUGUUUGUGAGUUAUUGAUUAUAAUAAGUCCAAUUUCUCAAUAAAUGGAGUUAGACAUCAAGGAGCAACUGUGGUAUUGUCAAAUGUGAGCCUAAAAGCUCAAUACUUUCUACCGCGGCCCUCACUACCAUUUUAGUAUUAUGUUCAAAAAUAAGCAUGAGAUUUCCCCAGUUAUAAAGAUAACGCAUAUACAUUAUGUAAAAUUUGGAACAUAUCCA